rnacentral:rRNA from 3 species
AUGAUGGAAUGGGAUAUAAUUAUAAAUUUUUCAUAGUUAAUAUUAAUUUAUAUUUUUAUAUAUUUUAAUAUAGUUUAUUAUAUUAUUAUUAUAUUAUAAACGACUAUGUUAAAACUAAUUAAUUUUUAUUAAUUCAUUUGAGUAACAUCUCAAAAGUCAUAGCAAGGUAGCUUGUACUGGAAA